GGCUUUUCGCUAUCACUGGGAGAUGGGCCUGCGGCGCAUUAGCUAGUUGGUGGGGUAACGGCCUACCAAGGCGACGAUGCGUAGCCGACCUGAGAGGGUGACCGGCCACACUGGGACUGAGACACGGCCCAUACUCCUACGGGAGGCAGCAGUAGGGAAUUUUCCACAAUGGACGAAAGUCUGAUGGAGCAACGCCGCGUGAACGAUGAAGGUCUUCGGAUUGUAAAGUUCUGUUGUCGGGACGAACACUAACCGUUCGAACAGGGCGGUACCUUGACGGUACCUGACGAGAAAGCCACGGCUAACUACGUGCCAGCAGCCGCGGUAUACGUAGGUGGCAAGCGUUGUCCGGAUUUAUUGGGCGUAAAGCGCGCGCAGGCGGCUAUGUAAGUCUGGUGUUAAAGCCCGGGGCUCAACCCCGGUUCGCAUCGGAAACUGUGUAGCUUGAGUGCAGAAGAGGAAAGCGGUAUUCCACGUGUAGCGGUGGAAUGCGUAGAGAUGUGGAGG
rnacentral:rRNA from 1 species